CGGCUUGUCAUCUCCUAAACUCCAGUUCUUGGAGCUCCUAUUACCUUACAUUGGCGGGACUUCUUUGCUGUCAUGUGUAGUAGGUUCAGAUGAAAGAUUGUGUCCUGCUUUAGUCUGUGACCAGAAACUCUUCAUUAGCAUGUAAAUUGCCUGCAAAUGCUAUGAGCCUAAAGCAAUAGGCAAAUUAUUCUGUAAUGAGAUUUCGUGACAAAAAUUAAAGCCGAGAAUUAGAGACCAACUACAAAUAGACAUGGGAUUUGCUGUUUUUUUCCUGCAGAUUCGAGCAUGUAACAACAGCUGUUUUUGGUGGCAAAAAUUUGAAGUAAUGCGAGAGUUUAAAAACAAAUGACAAAUCUCCUUUGAAGCAGAGUAGUGAAAAUUUUGCAGAGGCAAUUUUUGUUGUUAUGUUGAGUGUACAUAC